rnacentral:rRNA from 1 species
CUGCUAUCGGAUUGAUACUAAGCCAUGCGAGUCAUUGUAGCAAUACAAGGCAUACGGCUCAGUAACGCGUAGUCAACCUAACCUAUGGACGGGAAUAACCUCGGGAAACUGAGAAUAAUGCCCGAUAGAACAUUAUGCCUGGAAUGGUUUAUGUUCCAAAUGAUUUAUCGCCGUAGGAUGGGACUGCGGCCUAUCAGUUUGUUGGUGAGGUAAUGGCCCACCAAGACUAUUACAGGUACGGGCUCUGAGAGGAGUAGCCCGGAGAUGGGUACUGAGACACGGACCCAGGCCCUAUGGGGCGCAGCAGGCGAGAAAACUUUGCAAUGUGCGAAAGCACGACAAGGUUAAUCCGAGUGGUUUCUGCUAAAGGAACCUUUUGUCAGUCCUAGAAACACUGAUGAAUAAGGGGUGGGCAAGUUCUGGUGUCAGCCGCCGCGGUAAAACCCAGCACCUCAAGUGGUCAGGAUGAUUAUUGGGCCUAAAGCAUCCCGUAGCCGGCUCUGUAAGUUUUCGGUUAAAUCUGUACGCUCAACGUACAGGCUGCCGGGAAUACUGCAAAGCUAGGGAGUGGGAGAGGUAGACGGUACUCGGUAGGAAGGGGUAAAAUCCUUUGAUCUAUUGAUGACCACCUGUGGCGAAGGCGGUCUACCAGAACACGUCCGACGGUGAGGGAUGAAAGCUGGGGGAGCAAACCGGAUUAGAUACCCGGGUAGUCCCAGCUGUAAACCAUGCAAACUCAGUGAUGCAUUGGCUUGUGGCCAAUGCAGUGCUGCAGGGAAGCCGUUAAGUUUGCCGCCUGGGAAGUACGUACGCAAGUAUGAAACUUAAAGGAAUUGGCGGGGGAGCACCACAAGGGGUGAAGCCUGCGG